GGUAGUAGUCGAGAACAUCGUCCGAAGUCACAGGAAGCAAGCUGUAAAACUUGUCAGAUGAAGAGUGAUCAGCAAGCCGCUUCUUCACUCGUGCUCAAUGUCUCCUUGCUGAUCUUUCAGGUUCAAGUGCCAAAAACGGGCCAUGUGAAAGUGAGAAAACAACAAAGACCAACUUGUACACGUUUGUCGGCAGGCCACACUUCAGCAGUCCCUCCUGUGGCGAGUGCAAUGCUAUGCACAUGAUCAAAACAGGUUCCUCUAGGAAGAGAAACGACUCGGCAAACCAAGUAUGUAAAGGCGAGAAUAACGGAGCUGACUACCGCGGAACCGUCUCCGUGACCAGAAGUGGGAAGACAUGUCAGCGGUGGGAUGUCGACUCUCCACAUUUUCGUUUUUACAAGCCAGAUGGGUAUCCUGAGUUGGUGGAGAACUACUGCCGCAACCCAGGCGGUAAUGGGAGCUACAUUUGGUGCUACACAACGGACCCCGCCACUCGCUGGGACUACUGCAUCCACCCUACCUGCCCUGUUGUCUGCAUGGGUACUACUGGAUCUGACUACCGCGGAAACGUCUCUGUGACGAUAAGUGGGAAGACUUGUCAGCGAUGGGAUGUCGACUUUCCACAUCGUCGUUUGUACCUGCCAGAGAAGCAUCCAGAGCUGGCGGAGAACUACUGCCGCAACCCAAACGGGGAUUGGCCUGUGCCCGGCUUGUGGUGCUACACAAUGGACCCUGCCACCCGCUGGGAGUUCUGCUUUAACCCUACAUGCCACUGAUCAUGAGCUGCAGGUCCUAUCACUGAGGCCAUGCUGUCCGCCAACAGAGGCCUUUAGACAUUGGAAACGGACCAUUUGCUGACCAACUCUGACAAGAUUAUCAAGACUAGAAGUAAAAUAUGCACCAUUAUAAGCUGGUCUUUUAGACGUAUAUUUGAUGACGUUAUGUAACGCUAUUUACAAAGAUGUGAGGAAAGUUACAUAACGUCUUCAAAUGUACGGCUAAAAUACGUCUCUGGUUUUGAAUAGUAAACCAACCCCAAAAUUAUCGAAAUCGAGAUUGAGGUUCAAAUAUUCACACACUUAACUGUUAAUGUUUACGUUUAUUUGAAGACGUUAUGUAACUUUUUCAGAUUGAAUACGAUGGCCUGCAAAACCACAAUAGCAUGUUUGCCUCUCAUGCUCCAUUCUUCGCAGAAGACGCAAAGAGGUUUAUCUUAACUUUUUGGUAUCACAUGUAAAAGCCAAUGUCAUACUACGUUAAAGCAAAUGAAAGUGAAUGAAAAUCCAAAGACAAGAAAAAACACAUGAUAAUUUGGAAUACUAGUAUGCUAUAAUGUCAUGCCACAUUUAUCAAAGCACUGUCAAGAAAGAAAUGACGUUGCACAAAUUUUCAGCUGAUAAUUAAUCAACCGACGUGGCAGUGAGGAGCCCAGUUGACGUCAUCACUGCAGAUCGACAGUGCGUGAACGUUCUUACUUCUGCAGUACUGAAACAGGUGGAUAGGCGGGCCGCUUUUGGUCCAUGCAACAGAAUCUGGCUUCUCCUCAUAACGCAAACAUCUCCCACCAUUCCCCGACGUUCAUUGGUCCAAAAACCGGUACCGAUACUCGAUCGGAGAGAUCGGAGAAAACUUUAUCUAUCAAUAUGGAAGAACAAAUGUGGAUGUGGACAUAAUUUGCAUGAAGAAAUGUCACUUCUUCCUGAAGAAAGAUAAAACUUAUGUAUUUAUUACAGCACAGCGUAGUUUGGAAAGAGAUGAUAAUAAAGUCAUUGUUUAUGCCAAUACGAAUCCUCUUUGCAUAUCUGCUGAGAGGACGUACAACCCCAUUGGUAAACGACGGGACAUCACGUAAGUGACAUACAGUUUGUGCAACUUAGGCCACAGCAUUUUAUGGAUGACG